AAUCCCCUCCAAUCCAACGCAACGCCGCCGCUCCAACGGCUAGUUGCCCAGGCUGCCGAGUGCCGACCGUCCACGAUCUCAAAUUCAUCCAUCACCCGCGCCACCAGGCAUCGUCUCGGCCCAAGCACCACCGGCACCUCGACACCGCCCGCCGCCGCGCCAGUGAGCUCAGCUGCCAGCUCGAUCGCCCGCCAGCGGACACCGUCGAGGAUCCAGAAAACUCCAUGGGUAUCCCGUCGAGGCACCCGGACCACGAGGAGGAGGAGGAGUACGACGAUGCCUUGUUCUACGAGGACAUCCAGGCGCCCAAGUUCGUCGACCUCACCGCGCCCGACGCCGGCCGCCCCGACGACGACCCCGCCUGGUUCUGCAUCCGAGUCGGUUGCGACCAGAACCAUGAGCAGGUCGAUCCGGAGGCCCUGGACAGGAGCUUCUUUAUGCGGGUCAUGGCGGCGAGAAGCCCCAACGUGCGGCUACAGAAGGCUAUCAGCAGGAAGAACCAGAGCUCGAUGAUGAAAUGCCCGCAAUCUGCGCCGCCGAAGCCUCCGAGGGCUCGGUUCGCGAGGCUGAGCGCGGACACGGAGGCUGCGGAGAAGGCGCCGGCAAAGCCCAAGCCAAUGGUCCAGCGGAUCUGCGCCCUGCGAGCGUCCCCAGUCCGUACCAAGGCUGCGCGGGUCGAAUGUCCCAGCGAGAGGAAGAAGGCACUGACGACGCCGCGGAGCAAGCCCGUCCGGCCGAGGCCGGAGCUGUUCCACAGCGUGAAGCACCAGAAGGAGCCGUUCGCUGCUGCAGCCAGAAAGGGGACGGUCGUCAAGGCUCUGUUCAUGAGCACGCCAAAGAAGGAGCCGGUCCGAACGCCGGCGGCAGACAAGGGCAAGGAGGCGGUGUCCGAGGCCGGUUCCAAGCCGAGGAAGCUGAACUUGGCCUGCCGGGAGGUGCCGAGCAGGUACAUGUCUCAGCUGAAGAAUCCCAAGACUCCCAAGAAGGGUGAAGAGACCACGGUGGCCAAGAGCGAGAAGAGGGGACAAGAAUCCAAGACGAAUGUCAAGAAGAAAAUUUUAGGACGCUCGGCGAAGUGUGCUAGUGCCGAACAUGAUGGAGAGAACCGAAAUGGUUGCAGCAGCACUGCAGCAGACGAGAACUCACUUGCAGAAACUGCUAGCUCCAAUCAGGAAAGGAAUGUGGUGCUGCAGGAAUUGAGAAUUGAGGUUGAUACAUCGCGAUCUGACAAUUCUGAUGACAACAAGGAGAAUCUGUCGACUGCUGCUCCGAGUGAAGAAUCAAUGAACAAUUCGCAUUCUGAAAGUGAAAACAGACAGUUGGAGAACAACGAGAAUGUUCCUCUGAAGAAAAAUGUUGCUCUGAAGGUGGCUAAAUUGCAGAGCAAAGUGCAUCAAGAGCAAGCAGGAAAGCUCAAGAAAACUACCAAUCCUAGGCCAUUCAGGCUAAGGACUGAUGAAAGAGGUGUCCUUAAAGAAGCAAAACCAGAAAAAAGGCACCCGUUCGCUGAGAACAACUCCAUGGCAGUACUCAAGGAUCCAAACAGAGGACCAACGACAAUGGACAAACACAUCCACGGCAAGGGACUAGACAAGCCGACCUGCGGCAAGAAACAGAUGAAGCAAAGCACCCAGAUUGUAACGGGUCAGCAACAGCUAGUUGGUGAGUCCAGGCCCGCCUUCAACAGCACCAAAUGCAAAGCUGUGAAACCGCAGACAGUUUCUAGGGUUGCUGCAUCAUCAUCAGCACGAACAGCCAAAACAGCAAGGUUUGCAGGACUCUUUCUUGAGCUCAAACAGUCUUAACUUUCCGUUCCACCCCUGACAGGUCAUAUAUGUUGCUGUCCACCGCGUCACGCCUGACCAGGGGUGAAGUGGCCUUGUGGCACCUUCCCGGGUUGGCAAGGAGAGGAAGGCUACCGUGAAACUGUCGAGGUUUCAAACAACAGUUGCUUGAGUUCGUGCAUGAUCAGGGGAGAAAAGGAGAACAGGAGACUGUUGACAAUGGUUUUAUUGUCUGCUCCAAGCCUCCAACGACGUGUUCUAUAUUUACGCCGUCGAUAUUCGUUUCUGGAUUUUGUUGACUUAUGUACACUGACCAUUUCUUUCCGUGAAUCAUGUGGUGGAAUUCUUCUACUUUGUUACUGUAUACCACCACCAACCAACAAAGGUGUCAAGAUUCUUUCUGUAAAAUGUUUCGGAAUUGAUUCUUUCUGUCACUUAAACUGGGGAAGGAGGCCCAGCCCAUGAGACAUUUUAAUUCAGCUGUGUCAUGUGUGGACUAGGAGCCAUUUUAUCUCA